rnacentral:rRNA from 1 species
GACGAACGCUGGCGGCGUGCUUAACACAUGCAAGUCGAACGGAAAGGCCCUGCUUUUGUGGGGUGCUCGAGUGGCGAACGGGUGAGUAACACGUGAGUAACCUGCCCUUGACUUUGGGAUAACUUCAGGAAACUGGGGCUAAUACCGGAUAGGAGCUCCUGCUGCAUGGUGGGGGUUGGAAAGUUUCGGCGGUUGGGGAUGGACUCGCGGCUUAUCAGCUUGUUGGUGGGGUAGUGGCUUACAAAGGCUUUGACGGGUAGCCGGCCCGAGAGGGUGACCGGCCACAUUGGGACUGAGAUACGGCCCAGACUCCUACGGGAGGCAGCAGUGGGGAAUAUUGCACAAUGGGCGGAAGCCUGAUGCAGCAACGCCGCGUGCGGGAUGACGGCCUUCGGGUUGUAAACCGCUUUCGCCUGUGACGAAGCGUGAGUGACGGUAAUGGGUAAAGAAGCACCGGCUAACUACGUG